GCAAGCUUUGUACAUCUCCUGUCUGCCGCUAUCUAUACAGGGCUAAACAGAGAAGAUAAUCCGUGAAUAUUUAAUUGAUUUGUGAAGGAAAAAAUGGGCCAAAGAGUCUCCCCAGCUCUCCAUGAAAACAUCACACCUAACAACGAAAGAACCCACAGCCAGGGCCAGAGUUCCGGAUGCUGCACAGAGGUUGGAGAUAAGAUCAAGCCAGAUAAGAUCAAGCCUCUGGCUCCAGAGGCUUCUCGAACCCUUUGCGCUGAAGAAGCAGCUUGUCUUAAAGCCUGACACGAACAUUUCUCAGGUGCUACACCACCACCCUGACUCUCCACAAGCACCCCAAGCCAGAAGGAGAGGGCUUAAACUUUCCAUUUGGCAGUUGGAGCUUCUACCAGAGAAUCAGAGCAAAGUAACUCACCGAAGAAAAGCAAGUCAUGCAGAAAAUGCCAGUAUCUAUUUUCUAAACAAGUCAUAACUUAAAUGCCACCCACCCAGCUCUCAGCCCUAAGCUUUAAAGGGAGACACAACCAAAGAAACUGACUGGGCGGGAACAUUAUCAAUUAUGAGAGAAGUUAAAAGGAAAAAAGA